rnacentral:tRNA from 1 species
GGGGUUGUGGCUCAGUGGUAGAGCACUCGCCUUGCACUUGAGAGACCCUGAGUUCGAUCCUCAGCGCCA